rnacentral:rRNA from 1 species
CACGUAGGGCGCAAGCGUUGUCCGGAAUUAUUGGGCGUAAAGAGCUCGUAGGCGGUGUGUCACGUCGGCCGUGAAAACCUGCAGCUUAACUGUGGGCGUGCGGUCGAUACGGGCAUCACUGGAGUUCGGCAGGGGAGACUGGAAUUCCUGGUGUAGCGGUGAAAUGCGCAGAUAUCAGGAGGAACACCGGUGGCGAAGGCGGGUCUCUGGGCCGAUACUGACGCUGAGGAGCGAAAGCGUGGGGAGCGAACAGG